GCAAACACCCGACCCGCUGCGCCUCCCUAUCUCCUCUGGUAGAAACGCAAAGGAAAAGAAAUUUCCCCGCUUCCCUCGCCGCAGCCUGCUCGCCCGCUCCAUCUGCCCACAUAGAGCCGCCGUCCACCGCACCGACGCCGCCCUCCUGCCCCGCAGGCCGCAGCCGAUGCCGGUGCCCUCCACCGCGGACGCCGCCGCCAUCGCCCUCCACCGCGGAUGCCGCGGGAUAAGGAGAUGGUGGCGGCAUCGAGAUCCAGGCGGCCGGCACGUGCGUCCUCCCGCCGCUACGUCCGACGGCGCCGCCGUAAUUCGCACAUCAGCCGCCACCGCGCAGCCGCGAUCCGCGCACCUCAGCCGCUGUUAGACCGCCGCCGCGCGUCCUCCCGCUGGUCUCAAACCCUAAACCCAUCUUCUUCUCCUUCUUUUUCUCGUUUCUCCCUCGAAUCCAUGGGAUUCGCCGCUUCGCGUAUUACUUGUUUCCUACUGAUUCGUCUCGUGGUCCUCGUGUCGCCGCUGCUGGAAUCCUCCUGCCCCGUCGCCUCGCGGGCCGCUGGCCUCGCGCGCCGCCGCAGCCCUGUGGCUGUCCCUCCCACACCACCGCCGCAGCCCCGCCAUCCGCAGGUGGCCGCGCCGCCACGACCACCGAAUCUUACUGGCCGCUCCGAUGCUGCCUCGUGGGAGCACGAGGAGGCUGAGGGGCCGUGCCUCCCCAGCUGCCCUGUGCGUAUGAAUCACGCAGGUCAUAUUAUGGUCUUACGUGUUCAGCAGCAAAGAUAAAAUCUGAGGUGCUGGUAUAUCUCUGUACAAGGCCCUACAAAAACUGCCCCUUCUAAUGAAACAAGGGGUAUCGGCAAACUGCUGUGGAUGAGAAGUACAUUAUAUAAGACGUCAUCGGGAAAUCCAGAGUGCAGUCACAUUGAGCUUGCCCAAGAAGGCCACUGCCCACCAUGCGAGGUAUUGUACUGUCUAUGCACGGGAAGAAGCUUGCAGUUUUAUUGUGCAGGAUUAGCUACCUCCAAUUGUUUUAUAGAUUCUCCUUGGCACUGAUUAUCACACGUGCAAUGCUGGAUCAAUCAGUCAAUUUGCAAGUGCUCCACAUUUCAUUGUAUACGGGUAUUUGUAUCACACACAUGCAUCAUUUCACAUUGUUUUUGUUUGACAAGCGCUCCAAGAUUUUCAAAGGGGGUGUUUCGAGCGCCAAUUCGCCUCCGCGGGUAAGCCUGACGACCACCGUCGCCGUUCCCCUCCGCCACCGUCGCGCAAUAUGAUUCCUUAAUCCACUUUAUACUGAUCAUGCCUUCUCGUUACUACCCUCCGUUGAGAUGAUCUACCCAACUGUAGACAAUUUUAGAACAAUUUUGAACUGAGGAAUUUGGAUUGUGCCAGAGUUUGGGGUGAAUUAGGUGUAACAACAUCUAGCAAGCAUUGAUAUGUUAAUUUCUUUAAGCUUGUUCUACUUUGUGAUUAGCAUAUCCUAGAUAGAAAAAGAGCGAUUCACAAUGCAGGGGGAGGGGUGCUAUUGUGUCUCAGUAAGUAAUAUUACUUCAGUGUUAUGUAUCAUGUAUGAAGGUACAACUUCUGACCUGCAAACUCUGUUGUUGUGGAGGUUAGUACCUUAUUCAAUUAUUGAUCAUGACAAGAAAGAACAUUUGUCCUAUCUGCGUCCAGGAAAGAUGGGCUUCCAAAUUAAGGUAAGCUAAUUUAAUUUGUAGAACUGAUAUGGGUUAUGGAUUAUCAUACCUAUCUGAUUUUUCAUUUUCCAUGGUGGAAUUGGAAGGGCUAAUUUCAGUUGCAAGGUAAGAACAUUUUUCAUUGUACAAUUGUACCUAACUUGCAGUAGCUAAUUUCAGUUACAUGGGAAUCGGAAGAGCUAAAAGAAGGGUAGAAACUGAGAACCUUGCAUCUACAUAUUGUACUCUUACCCUGGUUCCAAUAUAUAAUAGCAGUAAAAAAACUGUUGGUCAACAAGGUAAAUAAGCGUUUUCUUUUCCUUCUGCUUUACUGCCUUUUGCAGAUGCACAUGAAUCCUGGUAGGCGAUUUGUCUCUCUUUACUGCUCUGCACUGUUAUUUUUUUCCUUAUCUAACACUGACGUCUAAAACUGAUAUGGGUUUCUCCUAUAGAGCUAGAACAAAGUUCUAAUCUUGUAGAUCUCAAACAAAUCGAUAAUUUUCUGUAGGCGCAGCUGCUGAUGCAGCCGGUACCUGCGUAUUUGAUGACAGCCUGUAUACUGCUAUCAAACCACUAUUUAGAGAAUAAGGUGUUUCAUGGGGGCAUUGUCGUAAGGUUGCUAAACCGGAUGCAUGGAAGGAGAGGCUAGCUUCAAACACAUUUGAUCGAAAUGUAUAAAUGUUUGUGUAUCGCUAUAGUUACCUGGAGGCAGAAUAUACAUAGCAAAAUAUACAUUCCUGCUGAUUCAGUUUACUGAACUCGAGAAGGUUCUUAGACUUAGAAGGUUACUGAUCCUAUGGCCGAAGCCUCAAAGGUGUCUCCCAUCGUAUGACAAAUGCCUUUUUAAUAAGAGUUCAUAAAGUUCCUGUGGUGAAGCAACACUUUCAAUCCCGAUGUAGACAUACAUUCUCUGCAUAUAGUUUCUCUUAUUUUGUUUACAAGAUAUUGAAUGAGCUCGUUAAA